AACGCAAAUUGCGCUCGAGGCCUCGGCCAAGAGCAUGUCUGCCUCAGCGUCGGCUACUACCCUCAACCAAGUUUCCUAUUUUUACUGGGGAUGUUUCUUGUUCUUAUUUGCGGUGUCUCCUAUGUCAAUAGGAGAUGUCCCUUAUUUUUAUGAGGGAUAUUACCUGUCCUUGUAGGAAACGCCGGUUGGAUCUGGCUGUCCGGAUUGCCUUUCAGGUUGCCGGUCAGCUGAAAUAUAUUCACGCUCUGGAGGCUGCUUUCCUUUCGAGGAAAGGCGAGUUCCGAUUUGGUAGGUGACCUUUGCCGGUUACAUGCCUUCGUUGCCCGCUAGGUUUCCCAGUAUGCGUUGUGCAGGACGCCUUUUGGCUUUCGACCUGAGGUCAGGCAAGAACACCCGCUGAACUUAA
rnacentral:misc_RNA from 1 species